AUAUGAGUCACCUGGGGAUCUUGAUAAAAUGCAGAUUCUGAUUCUGUAGGCCAAGGUUAGUGACAUUCUGCAUUUCUAACAAGCUCCCAGGUGGUCCUGGA
rnacentral:pre_miRNA from 1 species